GGGGAAGUGCGCAGCCGCCCCAUUCUCUUCCUUAUGUCCACGGAAGUAGAGGGCCACCUGCUUGCGAAUGGUGGACGUCCGAGGCCCCCGCUCGUGCUGCACGGCUGCAGAGACAGACAGAUGGACGAAUGCCCAGGAUCAGAGACUCGACAACACUUAGCUGCUGCCGAGCUCCCGGGCCAAACGCGCCGUCUGGGCAGGCAAGACAUGAGAGAGCUGAGGCUGAGAAGGGGAGCCGGACCCCAAGUGUCACGAUAAUGGCCAAGCCUCCAGCAAGACUAGAGCUUGACAACUUGUCAAUACACAAGUUCAACAGGUUGGACGUUCCCUCCUGCUUCCUGCGCCGCUGAGGAAGGAGCUCUCCCCAACGGGCGCUGUGCCUCCUGGAGCUGCCACCCAGCCCGGACCGUGGCCAAGGCAAACCCUCUCAGCAUCCUGUUCUGAGGCCCUAUUCCUCCCUCCCGGCCAUGACCCCGGCCCCCGGCCAGGCCUGGGGCGCCCUCGCCAGGCCACCACUGGGCACGCACUCGGACUGCGCUCUCCGCCCGAAAAGCAUCUGAUGUCCUAGUUCUUGUUGAACGAGUUUAAGAGCCUUCUGAAAGUCGGGUGUCCGAGGCACCCACAGGCGUCACCCUGCCUCUCCAGCCCCUUUUUGUAGAACCGAGAGAAAAAGCCCAGAUCGCCACAGUGGCCGUCCUGGUUUGGGAAUCUUGAUGAAUUAACAAACACGGGCUCGAAAUUCCGCGUGUUUGUGUCUCUGCCCUUCCUCCUCCAGCACAGUCUCCCAGUCCCCACAGUCUCCAACCUCGGAGACUAUCCCGACAGCGAGAUCCUGCGGAAGGCUAACAGGCUUAGAGGUGGCCACAAAAGGGCUGCAAGGAGAGGUGAGAAGAGGUAUUAGGACGAGGAGCAGGAAGUACCGCGCACGUGUGUGCCCAGCAGAGCCGGGUCCCGAGAGCGCUGUCUUCGUGGGGGUGCUUGUGGGGCGCAAGUUUCCUAUGUGGGUGUGGACCAUACCUCCAGAGUUCAGUGGGGUGGGGGUGGGGGUGGGGGCUCAUGCAGAGAGACGGAAGGAUAAGACUGAAAGUCCGAGGCCAAUUCCCAGCAUCUGGAAAGAAGUGCUCCAGAGAUGAUUUACAUGCAUUGGAGUGCCAUGUAUUUUCUGUACAUAUAAUUUACUUACUAGUCAACCAACAUUAGAGAAAUAAA